UACAGAGGUCUCGAGCGUUAGGCGGAAUCACUGGGCUUAAAGCGUGUGUAGGCGGAUCGUUAAGUGCCUUGUGAAAUCCCCAGGCUCAACCUGGGAACUGCGUCUGAUACUGGAUGGCUUGAAUUCGGGAGAGGGAUGCAGAAUUCCAGGUGUAGCGGUGAAAUGCGUAGAUAUCUGGAGGAAUACCGGUGGCGAAGGCGGCAUCCUGGACCGACAUUGACGCUGAGGAGCGAAAGCUAGGGGAGCAAACGGG
rnacentral:rRNA from 1 species